UGAGUAGAGUGGCGCACGAGGUGAGUAACGCGUGGGUAAUCUACCCUUGGAUUUGGGAUAACUCUGCGAAAGUGGAGCUAAUACCGGAUAGUCUGGCUUUAAAUAAGAAGUCGGUAAAGGAUGCCUCUGCAUAUGCAUUCGUCCGAGGAUGAGCCCGCGUCUCAUUAGCUAGUUGGUAGGGUAAUGGCCUACCAAGGCAACGAUGAGUAGCUGGUCUGAGAGGAUGAUCAGCCACACUGGAACUGAAACACGGUCCAGACUCCUACGGGAGGCAGCAGUGGGGAAUAUUGCGCAAUGGGCGAAAGCCUGACGCAGCAACGCCGUGUGAGGGAUGAAGGCUUUCGGGUCGUAAACCUCUGUCGGAAGGGAAGAACGGGCAUUGGUCUAAUAGGCCUUUGUUUUGACGGUACCUUUAGAGGAAGCACCGGCUAACUCCGUGCCAGCAGCCGCGGUAAUACGGAGGGUGCAAGCGUUAUUCGGAAUUACUGGGCGUAAAGCGCACGUAGGCGGCCUUGUAAGUCAGGGGUGAAAUCCCACGGCUCAACCGUGGAACUGCCUUUGAAACUGCAGGGCUUGAAUCCUGGAGAGGGUGGCGGAAUUCCUGGUGUAGGAGUGAAAUCCGUAGAUAUCAGGAGGAACACCGGUGGCGAAGGCGGCCACCUGGACAGGCAUUGACGCUGAGGUGCGAAAGUGUGGGGAGCAAACAGGAUUAGAUACCCUGGUAGUCCACACCGUAAACGAUGGAUACUAGGUGUCGGGGACUUGAUCUUCGGUGCCGUAGCUAACGCGUUAAGUAUCCCGCCUGGGGAGUACGGUCGCAAGGCUGAAACUCAAAGAAAUUGACGGGGGCCCGCACAAGCGGUGGAGUAUGUGGUUUAAUUCGAUGCAACGCGAAGAACCUUACCUAGGCUUGAC
rnacentral:rRNA from 1 species